rnacentral:rRNA from 1 species
GACGAACGCUGGCGGUGUGCUUAACACAUGCAAGUGGUGCGACGAACCAGAGCUUGCUCUGGGGCAAAGCCGCGAACGGGUGAGUAACACGUGGGUAAUCUACCCCGAUGACCGGGACAACCCGAGGAAACUCGGGCUAAUACCGGAUGUGGUACGGAGACAUAAGUCUCUUUACUAAAGGUAGCUUCGGCUUCCGCAUUGGGAGGGGCCCGCGGCCCAUUAGCUAGUUGGUGGGGUCAAGGCCUACCAAGGCAACGAUGGGUAGCUGGUCUGAGAGGACGAUCAGCCACACUGGGACUGAGACACGGCCCAGACUCCUACGGGAGGCAGCAGUGGGGAAUCUUGCGCAAUGCGCGAAAGCGUGACGCAGCAACACCGCGUGAGGGAAGACGGGCCUUAGGGUUGUAAACCUCUUUCAGAUGGGACGAAGGUGAUGCGGUGAAUAGCCGAUGUCAUUGACGGUACCGUCAGAAGAAGCUCCGGCUAACUACGUGCCAGCAGCCGCGGUAAU